UACGUAGGGGGCAAGCGUUGUCCGGAAUCAUUGGGCGUAAAGAGCGUGUAGGCGGCUCGGUAAGUCCGCUGUGAAAGUCCAGGGCUCAACCCUGGAAAGCCGGUGGAAACUGUCGAGCUCGAGUCCGGAAGAGGCGAGUGGAAUUCCUGGUGUAGCGGUGAAAUGCGCAGAUAUCAGGAGGAACACCAAUGGCGAAGGAAGCUCGCUGGGACGGUACUGACGCUGAGACGCGAAAGCGUGGGGAGCAAACAGG
rnacentral:rRNA from 1 species